rnacentral:misc_RNA from 1 species
UGCAUAUUUCUCACUACACCCGGACUCCGAUGUAGCGCGUCGUUAGUAAAGGACGCCCCAACGUUUAUAUCAUAAGAAUCCAUAUUAUGAGAUAUAACGAAAUUAUUACGUUGGUUAUCACCUACCGCAACCCUUCUCCUUUAUCCGAGCUUAGAACCGACUAAACACAAACUACUUAGGCGGAGUUAGUUUGUUGGAUGACCAUCGUGUCUGAUAAUUCUGUAGCAAUUAAAUGUAUUGAAGCCCCCCUCUCAAACUUUACAUUUUGGUUUUUAAACCCUUCACACAGCAUGUUGCUAAACUAAAAUAUAAACAGCUUGACUGAACCUAGAAAACCUUCCGGACAACCACUGAAAAUAAAAUAACUUAAAAAAAAAAGAAAAAAAAACUUUUGCACAAUUUGCCUGUAGUGAAAGUCAUUUGUUUUGUUCAAAUCAUAGGUCAUUAUUUAAUUUCUAAUAAGCAUGAAUCUCUAUUUUCUCUAGUAUGCCUUUCCUACGCCCUUCAAAUGGGCUUUAGCUAAAAGCAUGUUAUUCAUCAUUAAUUGUAAGUGGUUGGUUUUCUUUAUCUAUUGAACCAACUAUUUUUCCCAUGUCUUUAGUUACUGGUAAUUCAAUCUUCUCACAGAUGUUUAAAGUCCUUAUUGUUGUUUAUUUGUCUUUAUCCUUGUAACCUCUUAACAACAACCGGGCAUUAAUCUCAAACUAGUUGGGGUUGACUAUAUGGAUCCUUUUUCAACAUUCAGCUUUAUUAGAAAUUAAUUCCAGAUAAUUAUAAAUCUUUUUUCUGCUACUUCCUUCCACGUUAUUUUAGAUCUCCCUCUAUUCCCUUCUCACUCCUUAAACUACUAACUUAUCACACUUUCAUACUAGGGCAUUCAAUGCUCUACAUUGGAUGUGACCAAACCAUCUCAAUCGACCCUCAUUCAUUUUUUCCCCAAUAUGUGCUAUAUGUACUUUCUGGCGAAUGUGGUCAUUCAUAAUUUUAUCCAUUAUUGUAGUACUAGACAUCCAUCUUAACAUUC